UUAAGCGACUAAGCGUACACGGUGGAUGCCCUGGCAGUCAGAGGCGAUGAAGGACGUGCUAAUCUGCGAAAAGCGUCGGUAAGGUGAUAUGAACCGUUAUAACCGGCGAUGUCCGAAUGGGGAAACCCAGUGUGAUUCGUCACACUAUCGUUAACUGAAUACAUAGGUUAACGAGGCGAACCGGGGGAACUGAAACAUCUAAGUACCCCGAGGAAAAGAAAUCAACCGAGAUUCCCCCAGUAGCGGCGAGCGAACGGGGAGCAGCCCAGAGUCUGAAUCAGCUUGUGUGUUAGUGGAACGGUCUGGAAAGUCCGACGGUACAGGGUGAUAGUCCCGUACACCAAAAUGCACAGGUUGUGAACUCGAAGAGUAGGGCGGGACACGUGGUAUCCUGUCUGAAUAUGGGGGGACCAUCCUCCAAGGCUAAAUACUCCUGACUGACCGAUAGUGAACCAGUACCGUGAGGGAAAGGCGAAAAGAACCCCGGCGAGGGGAGUGAAAAAGAACCUGAAACCGUGUACGUACAAGCAGUGGGAGCACCUUCGGGUGUGACUGCGUACCUUUUGUAUAAUGGGUCAGCGACUUAUAUUCUGUAGCAAGGUUAACCGUAUAGGGGAGCCGCAGGGAAACCGAGUCUUAACUGGGCGUUAAGUUGCAGGGUAUAGACCCGAAACCCGGUGAUCUAGCCAUGGGCAGGUUGAAGGUUGGGUAACACUAACUGGAGGACCGAACCGACUAAUGUUGAAAAAUUAGCGGAUGACUUGUGGCUGGGGGUGAAAGGCCAAUCAAACCGGGAGAUAGCUGGUUCUCCCCGAAAGCUAUUUAGGUAGCGCCUCGUGAAUUCAUCUUCGGGGGUAGAGCACUGUUUCGGCUAGGGGGUCAUCCCGACUUACCAACCCGAUGCAAACUACGAAUACCGAAGAAUGUUAUCACGGGAGACACACGGCGGGUGCUAACGUCCGUCGUGAAGAGGGAAACAACCCAGACCGCCAGCUAAGGUCCCAAAGUCAUGGUUAAGUGGGAAACGAUGUGGGAAGGCACAGACAGCCAGGAUGUUGGCUUAGAAGCAGCCAUCAUUUAAAGAAAGCGUAAUAGCUCACUGGUCGAGUCGGCCUGCGCGGAAGAUGUAACGGGGCUAAACCAUGCACCGAAGCUGCGGCAGCGACACUAUGUGUUGUUGGGUAGGGGAGCGUUCUGUAAGCCUGCGAAGGUGGCCUGUGAGGGUUGCUGGAGGUAUCAGAAGUGCGAAUGCUGACAUAAGUAACGAUAAAGCGGGUGAAAAGCCCGCUCGCCGGAAGACCAAGGGUUCCUGUCCAACGUUAAUCGGGGCAGGGUGAGUCGACCCCUAAGGCGAGGCCGAAAGGCGUAGUCGAUGGGAAACAGGUUAAUAUUCCUGUACUUGGUGUUACUGCGAAGGGGGGACGGAGAAGGCUAUGUUAGCCGGGCGACGGUUGUCCCGGUUUAAGCAUGUAGGCUGGUUAUCCAGGCAAAUCCGGAUAAUCAAGGCUGAGGUGUGAUGACGAGGCACUACGGUGCUGAAGUAACAAAUGCCCUGCUUCCAGGAAAAGCCUCUAAGCAUCAGGUAACAUUAAAUCGUACCCCAAACCGACACAGGUGGUCAGGUAGAGAAUACCAAGGCGCUUGAGAGAACUCGGGUGAAGGAACUAGGCAAAAUGGUGCCGUAACUUCGGGAGAAGGCACGCUGGUGUGUAGGUGAAGUCCCUGCGGAUGGAGCUGAGACCAGUCGAAGAUACCAGCUGGCUGCAACUGUUUAUUAAAAACACAGCACUGUGCAAACACGAAAGUGGACGUAUACGGUGUGACGCCUGCCCGGUGCCGGAAGGUUAAUUGAUGGGGUUAUCCGUAAGGAGAAGCUCUUGAUCGAAGCCCCGGUAAACGGCGGCCGUAACUAUAACGGUCCUAAGGUAGCGAAAUUCCUUGUCGGGUAAGUUCCGACCUGCACGAAUGGCGUAAUGAUGGCCAGGCUGUCUCCACCCGAGACUCAGUGAAAUUGAACUCGCUGUGAAGAUGCAGUGUACCCGCGGCAAGACGGAAAGACCCCGUGAACCUUUACUAUAGCUUGACACUGAACAUUGAGCCUUGAUGUGUAGGAUAGGUGGGAGGCUUUGAAGCGUGGACGCCAGUCUGCGUGGAGCCAACCUUGAAAUACCACCCUUUAAUGUUUGAUGUUCUAACGUUGGCCCCUGACCGGGGUUGCGGACAGUGUCUGGUGGGUAGUUUGACUGGGGCGGUCUCCUCCCAAAGCGUAACGGAGGAGCACGAAGGUUAGCUAAUCCUGGUCGGACAUCAGGAGGUUAGUGCAAUGGCAUAAGCUAGCUUGACUGCGAGCGUGACGGCGCGAGCAGGUGCGAAAGCAGGUCAUAGUGAUCCGGUGGUUCUGAAUGGAAGGGCCAUCGCUCAACGGAUAAAAGGUACUCCGGGGAUAACAGGCUGAUACCGCCCAAGAGUUCAUAUCGACGGCGGUGUUUGGCACCUCGAUGUCGGCUCAUCACAUCCUGGGGCUGAAGUAGGUCCCAAGGGUAUGGCUGUUCGCCAUUUAAAGUGGUACGCGAGCUGGGUUUAGAACGUCGUGAGACAGUUCGGUCCCUAUCUGCCGUGGGCGCUGGAGAAUUGAGGGGGGCUGCUCCUAGUACGAGAGGACCGGAGUGGACGCAUCACUGGUGUUCGGGUUGUCAUGCCAAUGGCACUGCCCGGUAGCUAAAUGCGGAAGAGAUAAGUGCUGAAAGCAUCUAAGCACGAAACUUGCCCCGAGAUGAGUUCUCCCUGAGACUUUAAGUCUCCUGAAGGAACGUUGAAGACGAUGACGUUGAUAGGCCGGGUGUGUAAGCGCAGCGAUGCGUUGAGCUAACCGGUACUAAUGAACCGUGAGGCUUAACCUU
rnacentral:rRNA from 1 species